rnacentral:rRNA from 2 species
UACGGAAGGUCCAGGCGUUAUCCGGAUUUAUUGGGUUUAAAGGGAGCGUAGGCUGGAGAUUAAGUGUGUUGUGAAAUGUAGACGCUCAACGUCUGACUUGCAGCGCAUACUGGUUUCCUUGAGUACGCACAACGUUGGCGGAAUUCGUCGUGUAGCGGUGAAAUGCUUAGAUAUGACGAAGAACUCCGAUUGCGAAGGCAGCUGACGGGAGCGCAACUGACGCUUAAGCUCGAAGGUGCGGGUAUCAAACAGG